rnacentral:lncRNA from 1 species
GCAAAUAAAAUUAAGAAUCAAUUAGCAAAAAUAAAUGUUAGGAAAAAUAAAAAAAAUCUAAAUGUUAAGAAACAAGUGUGUCACUAUCUGUGUAUGGAUUUUGUUUUUUUCCCUCCUUUGUUGGCGUGCCACUUUUGCACAGCAUGUGGAUAUUGGAUGGCUGAAAUCUCUCAGCAAUGUCGGCUGCUGUCUUGGACUAGGAUUGUAUCUUCCGCACUAAAGAAGUAUUCGCUUUCCUUCACGUGAAUCCCCCAUU